UUCUUAUAUUUCUUAUUAUAAGUAAAAUCUGCUCAAUGAAACAAUAAAUAGCCGCAGAAUAUUCUGUGCUAAGGUAGCGUAAUCAUUUGUCUUUUAAUUCAAGACCAGAAUGAAAGAUUUAACAUUUCAAAUAAUUUAUUAAUAUUAAAUUUUAAAUUUAUCCUAAAAAUAAAAAGAUUUUUAUAAAAUAUAAAGACAACAAGACCCUAUUGAACUUAACUUUAGUUUAACUGGGGAAGUUAAUUAAUUAAAAUUUUAAUUACUAUAAAUAUAUAGAUACCUAAUAUAAUUAAAUUAACCAAGUUACCAUAGGGAUAACAGCGUAAUAUUUUUUUAAAGAUCCUAUUUACAAAAAUGUUUACGACCUCGAUGUUGAAUAAAUAACCUAAUAAAUGCAAGAAUAUAAAAAGGAAGUCUGUUCGACUUUUAAAAAUUUACA
rnacentral:rRNA from 1 species